rnacentral:lncRNA from 1 species
UAUAAGAAGCUAACGUGGCAUCAAGUUGAUGACUUCCAAAUAGCCAGCACUGGAGUAGGGUAUUUAAGCGUUAACUGCAUCUUCUGCCUGUGUUUACUGCAACUCUGUGAGAUGAUAGGAUUCAAUGUGAGUCUCUAUUUAGACAUAACAUGAAAUGACAAAUGUAAUCUCUUUGAUCACUUUGCUUUUUGUUUUUUGAGCUUUUGGUCACUUGUGUUGAGUAUUAUGUUUGCUUGAUAGCAAUUUCUUUGUGCUCACAAAUCAUAAAAUACAUAAGUGGGAGUGGGAGGACAAAGAGUUCCUGCAUGAAUUAUGAGAUUUGCUAAAGGAAGUUUAAGUUUGAAUUUUUUAUUUGUUUCUAAGUUCUAAUUUCUAUUUUUUUUUUUUUUUUUGCAGUGGAUACCUCUAUGUUAGAUUCUUUUUUCUAAAGAAAAAUGAUGCUGAAAGAAAACUAGGAAAUAUACCAAGGAAUUAAGAUCAUUGAACAUGAAAAAUGCAACAUAUCCUAGAGGUUUUGGUAAUAUAUUCAUUUCCUGCAGUACUUUGAUUAGGGACACAUCGACAAGGAGUGAUAUGGGAUAUCUUCCUUCACCAAGAUAGCUUCAUGAAGCCUCAAGAUUCCAUCAGAAACAGUUAGAGGUUAUCCAGAGAUCCAGGGAUCACAGUCAGCUGGGCAACCUUGGAUAAGGCAAAUAUCUCUUGAACAUAAUUCUAGAAUCAGGUGGUGUUAAUCGACAUAUUCGUGCCUGAGGGACAUGACAGCCCCUGAGAGGUAAGAUAUUGGCCACAGUGAAGACCGGAUGUCCUGUUAUUGCACUUUUUUCCUGAACACCAUAAUCUCCACUAAAUAGAUAGAGUAUCAGGAGAAAGAAACUCCCUCAGAAAUUCUUGGGUUAUGGGUUAAACCUAAAAUGUGAGCUGGAAACACAAUUGCUAGUAAUCAGAAGCUACAUUUUUUUUUUUUCUUUAUGGGGAAAGAAGCCCUUCUGUAAUUCAGUCUACUGACUCCAUUCUUAAUCUUUUAUGAACUCUAAGGCCAAGGGCAAGGGGAAAAAAUAAGAGCCUACCAGCUGAGAGUGGGGGAACUAAAAAUGUCCUAAUGUUGUAAGCAACUACUCAUAGUCUUUUGAGAAAAAUCUCUGAUAUGCCACAUUGUCUGGGAAGAUACUGGUCCACUGUAAAAAAAAUUGAUUGUGAGUCUGCAGAACUUGCUAGAGACUUAAAAUGCUGAUUUCAGCUGUGAGUGAUGGCAAAUGGGAGGAUGGGGUCCACACAGGAGUUUCCCUUCUAACUGAAACACCAGACCCACCCAUCAGAAGAGGAAAAGAGAACCACUGAAUUCAGAGAGAAAAAAAGUCUUCCUUAGACUAAUUCCAUUUGGGAAUAGACUGCUGUAUUGGAAAAAAAUCCCCCUCCUGAAUUGCAGGGAUGUCUGAGAGAUGAAUGUUUUCUGGCAGUGGGUCAAGGGCCUGGGAAGUUUGCCAGCAGCUGAGUCUCUGUGGCUAAUACAAAAACCAGACAGGAUAUGAAAGAACUGACAGGGAGAAAAUUGUCAGGACUGAACCAACUGGGAUAAGAUAGGAAAGCUGAAAGAAUUCUUGGGGGCGGAAACACCUGUGUUAUAAAGAAGGAAGAAAAA